UACGAAGGGGCUAGCGUUGCUCGGAAUUACUGGGCGUAAAGGGAGCGUAGGCGGAUAGUUUAGUCAGAGGUGAAAUCCCGGGGCUCAACCUCGGAACUGCCUUUGAUACUGGCUGUCUUGAGUAUGGGAGAGGUGUGUGGAACUCCGAGUGAUAGAGGUGAAAUUCGUAGAUAUUCGGAAGAACACCAGUGGCGAAGGCGACACACUGGCCCAUUACUGACGCUGAGGCUACGGAAAGCGUGGGGAGCAAACAGG
rnacentral:rRNA from 1 species